rnacentral:piRNA from 1 species
UGNGGGCCUACCUGCUAAAGAAUAUUAAGUG